CUGGCAGUUUCUCUGGGCCCUGCUCACUUCCAGGUAUUGAAGCGCUGAGUGCAGCUUUCAAACACAUCGAUGCUACUAGACUUCAUCUUCUAGUGGGAGGUGCUGAUUCAUGCCUGAGGCCGGCCUGAUCUGGGAGCCAAAAAGGAGUUGGGAAGAUCCUCAGCUAGCAUCAAUGGAGCCACUCCUGUCCCGUGAACGGAGCCGGGGCACUUCAUACCAGCGGGGGAUCCUUCCCCUGGGAUUUAAGUGUUUUGCUGGCCCCUUGCGUAAGGAAAAGCGACUCGCUGCAUCUACUCUGUGAAGUUGGCAUGUUUUGCCAUCCUUGUCCCUGACCGUCUGGACCGGGGGUCCCUUGGGGAGCGCCUGGUUGCCCUGGCACAGGGAGACACCCAAGGCCAGGUAUGCUGGUGGGGAGCUGGGCUGGUGGGGAGGCAGAGAAAGCAGUGAAAGAAGCAGGAGGUCCCGCUCGAGCGGGUUUUGUUGUGUGUGAGCUUAGACCGUUGCUCAGAGCUGCUGCAAAGGCUUGGAGGGCCUUGCCGCAGGCAGCAGUGGAUCAGGCUCUAAGUUUAGUCACGCACGGGGUGAGGGUCAGACUGGUUUUUGGGCCCCUUCCUCACAUUGCCACCGCCACGUGGCACUUGCACUUGGGGAGAUGAGGUGCCAUCAGCAGCAAGCCUGCUGUGAGGAGCAAGAAAUUAAGCAGGUAAGCACAGACGCUCCUUGAGCAGUGUUUGAGCGUGCCAGAUGUCCUCGAAGGGCACAUCCUCCCUCUAAGGCUACUAAUGUUAUUAGGCUGAGUCAGCCCUGCUUGCAAGGCCCCAGAGUGUGCAGUGAUAGGGAUCUACCACCCUGUCUGGGCUGCGGGGAAGGAGGCGCUGAAGCUGUUAGCGAGGAGGAGUUGGCUGUGUUCAUCCGUGGGUGAAGAGGAGGAAGGCUCAGUGCCUUGCAUCCCCCUCCAGCCCCAGGGUUACGACUGGAUGCUGGGCUUCUCAUCAGGGCUUGCACCAGCAUAUGCUUUUUUCUUCCCCCAAAUGUAUUUAAAAUACUUUCUGCUCAGCUUUUAAAACUUCACGUGCUUUUUCUAAAAGAAAAACCUAUGGCCCUUCUGGCACCCAACACGAAGAUGCUGAGCACCCUGGGGAGGGUUGACAGCACCCUCAGCCGUGGGAGCUCAGCUCCCGGUGGGUCUGUGCUGCCUCUGCCAAGUCUGGAGAGGGAAGCAGUGGCAGGUUCCUGCGUUGAUCCCUCUAGGAAGCAGGUCAAGGCUCUUGACAUCUGUCAGUUUCUAGGAUGUUUAAGCUUGAAAGAGGUUUUUUCUGUAUUCCUCUGCCAGCUCUGUGCUGGCUC